GGCCACCAGUGAUGUCUCCUGUACACCCUGACUUCCUUCCCUCACGGAGUUGCUACCUUCCCCACUUCCCAGCCCAGCACACCAGAACAGAAAGUACAGUGAAAGUUCAGGUUCCAAGAUGUGGUCUGCAUGUGUGCAGACAUCCUUAGUGUGACUGGACAAUCGGACCACUACUGAGAAUAAGUGAGGACAUCAAAACUCCUGGAUUCCAGAAUAAUUUUGCUGCAAGGCAGAAGGGGAGCAAGAGAAGCUGCUUUGUGGAAGAAGAAAGCUGAGAGAAAUUAAUGGGAGACAUUAAUGGAAAUUAAGUCAAGGCACCCUGGAUUACUCCAAGAGAUAGAGAUGAAAAAUGGCAUGGCCUUGCCCCCACACAAAUGACACAACCCGUCAAUCAGAUUCGCAGUAUUGCCUUAAGAAACCCAUUUCGGCAUGUGCUCCCUGCCUGGGUCAGUGUAUGAUGGAUUCUCCCUGAUCUGUAAUAAGAUGGGGAUGGUGAUCUGCCUUUCAGGGUUCUUGUCAGUGAGCUCUGAUAAAGAUUAUGCAGUCCCCUGCACAUCAAAAGUGCCAUAUUAAUGAGAUCAUAGUAUCGACUUUGUGCAGUGAUGAGACAUACGGUUCUGAGGCUGCUGAGCAAUGUGAAAGGAAGAAUGGCUCUUUGCCUUUCACAAGAAAGACUAAAUCGCCCAGUAUUUGUCUCACAUCUUUGAUCCUGCGGGGAUAACAGAGUAAGUGACCAAUUGCAAGUGUGAUUCUCAAUUAAAGGUGUGAGAGAGAUUCACUGGGAGCUAAUGGCGCCCUUAUCCCACUUAUUAGACUCUUCAGAGUACACAAACACACUCAUACAUAAACAUCUCACUAGGGGACAGGCCAGACUGACAGCUAUUUCUGAAAGUCAGAGAUGCAUCGCUAGAGGGGAAGCUCCUUUUCUGAAGAAUUAGCAUUGCCCAGAGAUGGAACCUAAUGAGAACAGUGGGAAACCCAUGGUGAUAAUGAACAGACCGAGCUGCACAGGGCUCCCCUGAAGCAUGAGAAAGCCCACCGGUUAUUUUAUUGGAUUUGAGAGAGACCCUUGCUUUUGUUUACUAAUGUGUUUUGAUUACUUGGUAUCUGUCCAGAAUCGAGUGGGGAUUCAUCACUAGCAGUGGAAGAGAUUAAACGUGUCAUGCUGUUGGCAA